rnacentral:lncRNA from 1 species
CUUGAAAAUGGAAGCUGUAGUAAAGUUCACUUCGGCAACGAAAAUAAACGAAGCAUUGCAGAACUUAUAGAUCCGCUAGUGGUACAUUAUCGUGGUUUGUGAGAUCCAUCUUACUGUGGCAGUCAAUGUGAUCAUGUGGUAGUUUUGUGGGAUGGUAAUUAAGAAAAUUGUAAGCAUAUUGAACUGAAGUUAAUCUUUUUCUUUUACUGUGACACUGAAGGUUGGUUACCAGUGUAGUUCAAGCAGUGAACACAGUUACAGUUCCAGUUCAUCCACAGAACUUUACAUCUACAGCUGUACAAUGAACUGAAGUUGAUCUUUUUUUUCACACUGAAGGUUACCAGUAUAGUUCAAGCAGUGAACACAGUUACAUUACAUCUACAGCUGUACAACAAAGUAAACAUGUCUUUUAAAUGGUAAGUUAAAUGUCUGUCUGCUAGAGCUGUUACUGCUUUGAAUGUAUGUUAGUUUGCAAAUGCUUAGUAUGUCUUAUGUGUGCUUAUAUAUGCUGUAUGCAUAUUGCUUGUAUUGCUUCAGUUUACUUUGUGCAGUGCUUCAUCAUCUUUACUAGUUGCUUUUCUUGUAACUGUUUGUCAGCUUAAUGCUUUACUUUUAUUACUAACUUGUUUAUACCUAACUUUACUUCUUGUCACCUUUUCAGUAUUAUGCUGCCCUUGGUUUUACAACAGGUGUUGAUGCUUUACUGCAUGCUAGUUUCAUAGGCUUUACUUGUUGCUUUGCUUGUAACAUGUUUGUCAGCUUUAAGCUAUAGUUAUUGCUUUGCUUGUAACAUGUUUGUCAGCUUUAAGCUAUAGUUAUUGCUUUGCUUGUAACAUGUUUGUCAGCUUAAGAUUAACUUGUUGCUUUGCUUGUAACAUGUUUGUCAGCUUAAGGCUUUACUUGUUGCUUUACUUGUAACAUGUUUGUCAGCUUAAGGCUUU